UGAUAGCAGGGACUCCUUACAUCUCCCUUGGCGGAUCUACAGGCCGCCGCCUAGCUCUCGGCCAUACUACC
rnacentral:tRNA from 1 species